CCGGAAGGCUUAGAUCUUGUGGCCAAGAGUUCAGACCGUGGCGAAGUGGAGAGUGACAUGCAGUUGGAUGGCGGUGACUGCGUGGUAUGGAAGAAAAUUCAGCUGAAAUUUGCUAGAAAAUGAGUUGUUUUGGAAAGAGACUGUAGAGAAAGGCAAAUGGAAGAAGAAAGCUUCUGUGCCCCCACAGAUACCGACUGAAAAGUGUUAGCAUGAGCAAAAGUUCCUAUCUAAUAUUAUAUGCUUUCCUUUGCUCCCAGAUGAUGUCAGAAGUGGGAUCCAAAGUAGAGCUUAUAAUGACACCUAGGAGUGCUGAGUGACCAAGCAAGGUACCCACCAGGCCGAUUAUGUCCAUUGUUCUCUUGGAGCAGCUGGUCAUCAUGGUAAGUUCUCUCUCAGAUUCAGAAGCUCCGCAUAUUUGUGUUUUGAGCUCUCCAAGUUUCUAUGAGCCCAUUUCUAAUCCAAACUGCGUUUGGAAGUCAUGCCAAAAACUGAACUGGGUCCAGAAUCAAAUUAGAUCUGGUAAUUAAGUGGCUUGGAUCCAGUUAGAGGCCUCUUACAUCUGACUGGGUCAGAAGAAAACCAGUAGUAAAUGGCAAUAAUGCAAGGAUAAAAUUUGGCUUUCACUCUUGAACAAGAUUUUCAUGUAAUAUUAAAGAAUAAUGAAUGUUUUUUUUCAACUUUGAAUAAACUACAGGAAAAAAAAAGAAAGAUACAACAAAAGAUUGUUUGGAAAGCUAAGUCUUCCCUCUAUUAAUGAAUAAAGGUUUUUGCCUUUUCAAAAUUUUCAAAUUAUCAUUCUGGCUAGAUAAAUAACUUAUGGUGACCUGGAAUCCUAUUCUACAAUAUUAAGUGUUUUAAAUCUUUAACAUAGUUGACAGGCUUCCCAAAAUCAAAUUUCACCUUCAAAAUUAAGUAUUUUUUAACCUCUAACUGUGGGAUGCUGCAGAGGGCCCAUGAAGCAUCAAAAAGAGAGGUAAACAGAAUUAUUUGACAUGCUAACUUACAAGAGAAGCAUUGUCAAAAUAAGAAAUAAUGUUUAACGUUUUGAAGGUUAUAUUUCAGUAAAUGUUAUUAAUAUAUGUUGUAAAAUUAUAUUACAUUCAUCAAAUUAUAAUAUGUUUGAGUAUAUGCUAUCAAUCAUGAUUAUGGUUAUUAUGUUGUUAUUGUAGGCCACAGAAAUAACCAAAUUUCCUUGUCAUUUGUGUCUUUAACUAUAAUUAUUUAAAGUCAUUUUCACAGUUCAUUGCUUAAUGCUGAUGCAGUUUCUGAAAACUUCACAAGCAUACAGAACCCUAGAAUAUGGUGUGUUUUAGGAGGUUUAUGAAAGGAUGGAAGGGACCCUGAAAAGCACUCUUGAAUACAUGUUUCUGAUAACUUUAGAAUCAUAUCAUUUGGACUGGGUAAGAAUUCCUGGAACUUGGAUAAAAAGACUGGUUUAUAAAACUGCCAACCCAAGUAGUACAAAAAUUAAUUGAAUACCAUGAAAAUACCUUGCCAGAUUUUCAUGCUAAAUCAGCCAAUACUGAAAUUGAACACCAUGGUGUAAGUCAAAUUACCUGUGAUAACCUAUCAGUUUUCAGUGCUAUGCACCUAAAUUGAAGAAACAACUGGUAUUCAAGAGAACAUAAGUCCAAUGUUAAGCACGGACUCUUGGAGAUCCAGGACAGCCACCUUGUACUUCCUGAGUUCUUAAACCUUUUGUUAUUAAAAGUUAUGCAUUCCACGACACAUCGUGGAAAAAAUAAAAUGAUCCAAAUUAAAUAUAUAUUGGUAUAGUGACUUCUCAAUUGCUAAAAUAGUUUCUGACCAAUGUUUGGUUUGUCAAACCCAUAUUGCUGGGAAGACAAUGCUUCAGGUACAUUCUGUUACCUGAUGGCCCACUGAAACAUUUACAGAGGGAUUUCAUUCAAUUAUUAUUUCCAAUGCAUGUUUUCUGGUUUUAUAAAAGCUUUCCCAUGCAAGAUAGCUAAUUUUACAAUAGGAUCAUGUUGUGCCACAGUGUAUUUUCACCAAGUAAAGAAAGCUUUGCAUGGUUCACUGACUGAGAACAAUAAACCUCUUCUUAAUCGAGAACCUGAAGAUCAGAUCUUCUGAGAACAUCAGAAAAAGACUUCCCUUGCCAUCCACACUGCAGCAAAACUUCAGGACCUUAAAUGCUGGGUUCAUAAUUUCACAACUGAGAAGGGACCCUCCACACUCUUGGAACUGUACACCUAGACCAAACUAAAAUACAGUCACUCUUGCUAAAUGUAACAUAAUCAAACUAAGACUUUAAGGAAACAAGCAAAUCCUAGAAAAGACCAGGUUUUUGUAUUUUUUUUCCUCCUGUAAACAGUACCUUCCAACAUAAGGAGGUACCCUCUACUCUAACACUUACAAAAAUAAUAAGAAUAAUAACCUGGAGUCCUUGUAAGGUGAAACCUUACAAAACCCACUGCUCUGCUGUUUCCUAGUGGGUUUCAAGAGGAAAUAAGUACUUUUACAGUGGUGA
rnacentral:lncRNA from 1 species